AGAGUUCGAUCCUGGCUCAGGAUGAACGCUGGCGGCGCGCCUAACACAUGCAAGUCGAACGGCACCCACCCUCGGGUGGAAGCGAGUGGCGAACGGCUGAGUAACACGUGGAGAACCCGCCCCCUCCUCCGGGAUAGCCUCGGGAAACCGUGGGUAAUACCGGAUGACCCCGCAGGGCCGCAUGGCCCCGCGGGCAAAGCCCAGACGGGAGGGGAUGGCUCCGCGGCCCAUCAGGUAGACGGCGGGGUGACGGCCCACCGUGCCGACGACGGGUAGCCGGGUUGAGAGACCGACCGGCCAGAUUGGGACUGAGACACGGCCCAGACUCCUACGGGAGGCAGCAGUGGGGAAUCUUGCGCAAUGGGGGGAACCCUGACGCAGCGACGCCGCGUGCGGGACGAAGGCCCUCGGGUCGUAAACCGCUUUCAGCAGGGAUGAGACAAGACGGUACCUGCAGAAGAAGCCCCGGCUAACUACGUGCCAGCAGCCGCGGUAAUACGUAGGGGGCGAGCGUUAUCCGGAUUCAUUGGGCGUAAAGCGCGCGUAGGCGGCCCGGCAGGCAGGGGGUCAAAUGGCGGGGCUCAACCCCGUCCCGCCCCCUGAACCGCCGGGCUCGGGUCCGGUAGGGGAGGGUGGAACACCCGGUGUAGCGGUGGAAUGCGCAGAUAUCGGGUGGAACACCGGUGGCGAAGGCGGCCCUCUGGGCCGAGACCGACGCUGAGGCGCGAAAGCUGGGGGAGCGAACAGGAUUAGAUACCCUGGUAGUCCCAGCCGUAAACGAUGGACGCUAGGUGUGGGGGGACGAUCCCUCCGUGCCGCAGCCAACGCAUUAAGCGUCCCGCCUGGGGAGUACGGCCGCAAGGCUAAAACUCAAAGGAAUUGACGGGGGCCCGCACAAGCAGCGGAGCAUGUGGCUUAAUUCGAAGCAACGCGAAGAACCUUACCAGGGCUUGACAU
rnacentral:rRNA from 1 species